AUGGGGUGGGGCAGAUCGUCCGGCUCCAGGAAGGGCAAGAGAGGCGGCAGCAGCAGCGGCGGCAGUGGCGCCGACAAGCCGAAGCAGCCGCAGCGGGGGCUCGGCGUGGCGCAGCUCGAGAAGAUUAGGUUACAGAGCGAAAUGGCUGAGUACUUCCAUCCUCUUGGUGGUCAGCCACCCAGCUUGAUCCACAGAACGGCCAGCCUCAAUUUGGUGAGUGAAGACACAUCUUGCAAAGCUGAAGUGAACAUAUGUGUAUAUGCGUAUUUUGUGUGUAUGGAUUUGCUUGCGAUUUUCGUAAGAUUGGGCGUUUCUGAUUCCUUGCGUCUUUGGAAUGGAUCUAUCGAGCAGGAGGAUACGCGGGCGUCAACGUCCUCGCUCUCAUCGUCCCCAUCGUCCCCCUUCCAUGCUACCGCCGUCUCGUCGGCCUUCCCGGUCCAUCCGAAUUUUGGGAUGGCAUAUGGGGAGAGAGGAGACGCUCGAUAUGGUGAAUUCCAGACUCCCAUCGUAAGAUCACCAAGCAGCAGCACUAUCUACGGGCCACCACAUUACGCACAUCCUGGUGUCACAUUGCCACUGUUUGCACCAGAGGAAUCUACCCGUCUGAGAAGGCACCAUGACCGGAGCCGGUCAGCUGAUUCGACGAGUAUGAAUUCCGAUGAUCCAGAAGACGUGGAUCUCGAGCUCAAGCUAUGA
rnacentral:rRNA from 1 species